GAUGAACGCUGGCGGCGUGCCUAAUACAUGCAAGUCGAGCGAACAGACGAGGAGCUUGCUCCUCUGACGUUAGCGGCGGACGGGUGAGUAACACGUGUAUAACCUACCUAUAAGACUGGGAUAACUUCGGGAAACCGGAGCUAAUACCGGAUAAUAUAUUGAACCGCAUGGUUCAAUAGUGAAAGACGGUUUUGCUGUCACUUAUAGAUGGAUCCGCGCCGCAUUAGCUAGUUGGUAAGGUAACGGCUUACCAAGGCAACGAUGCGUAGCCGACCUGAGAGGGUGAUCGGCCACACUGGAGCUGAGACACGGUCCAGACUCCUAAGGGAGGCAGCAGUAGGGAAUCUUCCGCAAUGGGCGAAAGCCUGACGGAGCAACGCCGCGUGAGUGAUGAAGGUCUUCGGAUCGUAAAACUCUGUUAUUAGGGAAGAACAAAUGUGUAAGUAACUAUGCACGUCUUGACGGUACCUAAUCAGAAAGCCACGGCUAACUACGUG
rnacentral:rRNA from 1 species